GAAAGUAAUUAAGAGCGCAUGGCGGAUGCCUUGGCUCUCGGAGGCGAAGAAGGACGUGACAAGCUGCGAUAAGCUGCGGGGAGGAGCAAAUAUCCAUUAUAUCCGCAGGUUUCCGAAUGGGGCAACCCAUCACGUUGAAGGCGUGAUAUCCUGAGCAAUCAGGAGGCGAACCCGGGGAACUGAAACAUCUUAGUACCCGGAGGAAAAGAAAACAAUAGUGAUUCCCCAAGUAGUGGCGAUCGAACGGGGAAUAGCCCAAACCGUGAUUGUUUCGGCAAUCACGGGGUUGCAGGACCACGACAAUCAAGACCAGUCAGAAGCGGAAGUUUUCUGGAAAGUAAUACCGCAGGGGGUGAUAGUCCCGUACGCGUAUCGACUGGUGGCGAUAGUGGUAUCCUGAGUAGGUCGGGACACGAGGAAUCCUGACUGAAUCUGCCAGGACCAUCUGGUAAGGCUAAAUACUUCCGAGAGACCGAUAGUGUACCAGUACCGUGAGGGAAAGGUGAAAAGCACCCCGAACAGGGGAGUGAAAUAGUACCUGAAACCGUGCGCUUACAAGCGGUCGGAGUCCCGGUAUUUAUCGGGAUGACGGCGUGCCUUUUGCAUAAUGAGCCUACGAGUUACACUUCACUAGCGAGGUUAAGACCUUCAGGGUUGGAGCCGAAGCGAAAGCGAGUCUGAAUAGGGCGUAUAGUUAGUGGAGGUAGACGCGAAACUUUGUGAUCUAUCCUUGGUCAGGCUGAAGUUCCGGUAAAACGGGAUGGAGGGCCGAACCAGUAGACGUUGAAAAGUCUUUGGAUGAACUGAGGAUAGGGGUGAAAGGCUAAUCAAACUGAGAAAUAGCUCGUACUCCCCGAAAUGCAUUUAGGUGCAGCCUCGGACGGAGUCUUGCAGAGGUAGAGCUACUGAUAAGGCUAGAGGGCUUCACCGCCUAUCGAUCCUUGACAAACUCCGAAUGCUGCAAGAUGCUCUCCGGGAGUGAGCCUGCGGGUGCUAAGGUCCGUGGACGAGAGGGAAAGAACCCAGAUCAUCAGCUAAGGUCCCUAAAUAUAUGCUAAGUUGAAUUAACGAAGUGCGACUGCUUAGACAGCUAGGAUGUUGGCUUGGAAGCAGCCAUUCAUUUAAAGAGUGCGUAACAGCUCACUAGUCGAGCGGUUGUGCGUGGAUAAUAAACGGGCAUAAGCAUAUUACCGAAGCUAUGGACUCAUCCCGAGAAAUCGGGAUGAUUGGUAGGGGAGCAUUCCAGUCGGCGUGGAAGAAGUGUCGCGAGGCAUUUUGGAGCGUCUGGAAAAGAAGAUGUAGGCAUAAGUAACGAUAAGGCAGGCGAGAAACCUGCCCACCGAAAGACUAAGGUUUCCUGAUCAACGCUAAUCGGAUCAGGGUUAGUCGGGUCCUAAGGGUAAGCCGCGUGGCGAUCCUAAUGGACAACUGGUUAAUAUUCCAGUACCACCGUUUACCGCGACGGGGCGACGGAGGAGUGAAAGAUCCGCGUACUGACGGAAUAGUACGUUAAAGGGUGUAGUUAUACCUUUUGGUUAACAGCUAAUAGGUGAUGAACCUGAUAGUACCAUGAGCCUUCGGGCGAGUGGAUAGUGAUCCUAAUCAUACUUCCAAGAAAACCCUCUAAGCAUCAAGUAAAUGGUGCCCGUACCACAAACCGACACAGGUAGUCGAGGAGAGAAUCCUAAGGUGCUCGAGUGAUCCGUGGCUAAGGAACUAGGCAAAUUAGACCUGUAACUUUGGAAUAAAGGUCUCCCUGAGAGAUCAGGGACGCAGAUAAACGGCCCAGGCGACUGUUUAGCAAAAACACAUGGCUUUGCGAAAUCGAAAGAUGAAGUAUAAGGCCUGACACCUGCCCGGUGCCGGAAGGUUAAGAGGGGAUGUUAUCGCAAGAGAAGCAUUGAAUUGAAGCCCCGGUAAACGGCGGCCGUAACUAUAACGGUCCUAAGGUAGCGAAAUUCCUUGUCGGGUAAGUUCCGACCUGCACGAAUGGUGUAACGAUCUGGGCACUGUCUCAGCCACGAGCUCGGUGAAAUUGUAGUUCCGGUGAAGAUGCCGGAUACCCGCAACGGGACGGAAAGACCCCGUGAACCUUUACUAUAGCUUAACAUUGAUUUUGGGUAAGUGAUGUGUAGG
rnacentral:rRNA from 1 species